CCCAGAAAAGAAAGAAAAUACGUUUUCUGUGAGGAAAUAUCCCGCGUUUUGGGCAGGCUGUCCGACCUCUCGCUUCUUAAUGCCGCCUCAGAGCAGCCUCGGGUCCCACAGCAGCCCCUGAGGCGGGGCGGAGGGGCUCCGGGGGGCUCCUGCUUCCCUCUGCACUCUGAGCCCCUGCUCUAACGAAACUUACCUAAACCGUGUAACAUUAAUGUAAAUGGGUUUAAUUGCCGCGUAUUUAAGCCAUGAAGCCGGACUGAACAAUCUGUUAAAACUUGGCCUGUUCCCAAGCCAUUGACACCAUCCAGCUUCCCCGCGCCAUGGGGGGGAAUAGGGGGAAGGGGGUGUCCAAAUACGUUUUGAUACAGGAGUUUUCAAUGUACCAGGAUUUCUUGUUCCUGUAAGUAGGACCAGUGCCCUGAAGGCGUUUCUACAUAAACUGCCAUCUGCAAAGGGCUGUUUCUUACCUGAUGCUACUUGAAGAAAACUGCCAUUAAAUCUUUCUGGAAGCAGCAUGUGUCUCUCUGGCAUAGUUUGAAAGGGACCAACUUGCAGAAAAAAAAUGGAAGUUCUGUGCUGAUAACAGGCAUGAGAAGGUUCACCUGAAAGGACUGUUGUCGUACAUCCCAGGACAGAUUUGGAUGCCCCCGGGGUGAUGUUUCUGAGUAACUGUGCAGGUGGAGCUGUCACUGUGCCUUGCAGCUGUCUGUAAUUAAACGUACAGAAGGAAUAUCCUCAGACCUGAAGCUUUGUAUCCUUAAAUAUGACAGACUUAAAGAUGUCAGGAUUAAAGAUGUUUGUUUGGCUAGUCCCACUAAUAAUGGAUACUUCUGAGUUAAUUCACCCGUGAAAAGCACAUAUCUACCAGUAUUUUUUGGUGCUCCUUUUCCAAGUGAAUACCAAAUACAGUAGAGAAUCAUGCUGAUGCACCUUACUGCACUAUGCACAGACAACAGUACUUUUUCCCAGGAGCUAAUUCAGCAUAGAUAUUGUCACCUAGCUAUAAUGCAGCAUCUAGUUGAGGUACCAGUGACUAUAUCCCACAUCUCCCAAGGGGUUGUCUCAUACCCAGUUGGAGCUCUCCCAUAAGACAACCAUUAAUUGUCGCUCACUAAUAGUGUGUCUUUUGUUACUGGAGACACUAUGAAAUAUUUGUCUUGGAUAAGAAAUCUCACGGUUUCUGCUCCAAAGCUGUUCCUGGUUCUCUAUGACUUGAUCUUACAGUCCACCUACCUUUAGACAGCUUUACUGUGAAUAGUAGGUCCAUGUUUGCUGCCAGUUUUGGCCGAGCAGUCCUGCAGUCAUUGUUUAAGUAGAAUGAAUGCUGAGCUCUAGGAUCUGAGUGGUGGCUCAGUGACAUGCACAGGAUGUAAAAAAGAAUUUGGGGUUGGCACUAACUGGAUUAGACCAGCUGCCCAAGUGUUCUGUCCCCAGAAGGAGAAACGAGAUAUUAUUUAGGGAGACCAUACCAGCCUGGCCACUUUCUGCAGUCCAUUCCCCUUGACUUUUCUAGCACUCAGAGCAGCUGUAUUAGGUACGUUAGGCAGUGUAGCCCUGCUUAGCCAUUUCAGUGUCUGUUUCUGGACUUUUGGUCCAUUAAGUUCUCUCUUAUUUUUUUGUGAUCCUCCAGAUGCAGUCACCCUCCACAGCCUUCUGCAUCAGCAAGUUCCAGAAGUUCAGGUGCAGUUGGAUGCAUGUUGUGCUAAAGUGCAGGAGAGGGGAUCAUCUGUGCCAUAUCUUUCUGCUUUCUAAUACAAAAUGCUGCGGUCUACCAGGACACGGUCUUGACUCACACAGAAAAAAAAGUGUUGGGUUAUAUGUGGACUAGAACCUGAAUACAUAUUGAUAAACCAUCUCAAAAAGCUACACUAACUAACACAAGAAAUAAGUCACCAAUUUCUGUGUACCUUGUGUAUGAAGAGAACCAAUUCCAUAUUUAUCAGAACACCAGACACUCCUUCUUCCACCUCUCCUUCUCAGCUUCAGUAAUUCCCUCUCCCCUAGCCUGCUGCCAUCCCUCAGACAGAAGAGGACAGUCCUUCACUGAGUAGAUGUGCGUCUUCCUCAUUGCCACAUCAUGUCUGAAGAAGUGACACCUGAUGGAGGUUUUGAAGAAUGCUUGGGCUUUUUUUGCUGGAUACCUGCUAAAGAUACAACUCCUGACCAAAAGAAACUGAGAUGGGAAUAAGAGGACAGAUGGCAGAAAUUUCCCAAGGGAGAAAAGAGAAUUACUGGUGAAGAUCAGGAUCAGACCUGCAGUGGUGAUCGUGAAAUGGAAAUGCCUGAAAACUCAAUUUCUCAAAGUUGAUAUAAUCCGUGCCUAGGUACCCAGCUUCUCUGAAUUCUGAGGCAAAUGGGGCAACAGGAGAAAACUGGGAGGUGCUGGAUGACUGACUUGGUGUGAGAACUGUAUGGAUAGGAAGAAGUAACCUAGACCCAAGAUGCAAGUUCACGGAUUGCAGGACAGGAGGCCAAACACUGAAACAGCAUCUGACAAAAAAGGGAGAUAGAGAAGAUUGCUGCUGCUGAAUCAGAUUUACUUCAAGGUCAGGAACUAAAGUUUUACCUAGCGCUAGAUGAUGAAAUUGGAGUAACUUGGAGAAAGCAAGUAAUCGUGAGGACAUAUUUCAAGUUAAAUGAUUUUUCCUCAAGAAAGAUAACAUGAACAUAAUUUCAAGGAGAAGUAGAAGGAGAUUAAUGGUGAGUGAUUUUGAGAGAAGAUGCUGCCGGGGCACCAUAGUGCCUGAGAGUCAGGAGCAGCGGCCACCCUGAGCUGGGAACUAAGGAGCUUCCAGCCCAUGUAAGGCCUGUUCCGGCACCCCCAGGAGUGAUUUCUUCUAGGAAGUUUAUUCCUGCCCUAAGGGUAGUAGGAGUGGAGCCCAAAAUUCUCAAAGAACAUUGACUUUGUCAGUAGCUAAAAUGCCACCCUGAGAAAGAAAACCUCUCUAGAGGAAUAAUCUCUUGCCUUUAACAGGAAAAGCUAUGCUGGAAAUUUGGCUUCAAGAACAGAGUGAACAGGGGGCAGCAGGAAAAAAAUGAAACUGAGCAACAUAACAGAAAACUUUCCUGAUAUCUGUGGAAUAUAACAGAAGUCCCAGCUAUCAAGCAAGUGUGGAUAAUUAUUGAUUCAUUAUGAUUUAUUUCAGUACCCACUGAAAAAAAAAAAUUCUCACUGACUUCAAGAGAUGGCAAACUGAGCUCAGGGAAAGAUAAAAUAAAACCCUGGUCAUUUAGUCAAUGGAA